rfam:Mus musculus chromosome 18, GRC primary reference assembly.
GGAGAGAUGGCUCAGUUGUUAAGAGCACUGGCUGCUCUUCCAGUGAACCUGGGUUCGAGUCCCAGCACCUACA